rnacentral:rRNA from 1 species
GACGUAGGGCGCGAGCGUUGUCCGGAUUUAUUGGGCGUAAAGAGCUCGUAGGCGGCUUGUUGCGUCAGCUGUGAAAACCCGCAGCUCAACUGUGGGCUUGCAGCUGAUACGGGCAGGCUUGAGUUCGGUAGGGGAGACUGGAAUUCCUGGUGUAGCGGUGAAAUGCGCAGAUAUCAGGAGGAACACCGGUGGCGAAGGCGGGUCUCUGGGCCGAUACUGACGCUGAGGAGCGAAAGCGUGGGGAGCGAACAGGAUUAGAAACCCGGUAGUCC